AUUGAACGCUGGCGGCAGGCCUAACACAUGCAAGUCGAGCGGUAGCACAGAGAGCUUGCUCUCGGGUGACGAGCGGCGGACGGGUGAGUAAUGUCUGGGAAACUGCCUGAUGGAGGGGGAUAACUACUGGAAACGGUAGCUAAUACCGCAUAACGUCCCAAGACCAAAGUGGGGGACCUUCGGGCCUCAUGCCAUCAGAUGUGCCCAGAUGGGAUUAGCUAGUAGGUGGGGUAACGGCUCACCUAGGCGACGAUCCCUAGCUGGUCUGAGUGGAUGACCAGCCACACUGGAACUGAGACACGGUCCAGACUCCUACGGGAGGCAGCAGUGGGGAAUAUUGCACAAUGGGCGCAAGCCUGAUGCAGCCAUGCCGCGUGUGUGAAGAAGGCCUUCGGGUUGUAAAGCACUUUCAGCGGGGAGGAAGGCGGUGAGGUUAAUAACCUCACCGAUUGACGUUACCCGCAGAAGAAGCACCGGCUAACUCCGUGCCAGCAGCCGCAGUAA
rnacentral:rRNA from 1 species